AUUAUAUUGUAAGACUUACAUAAAUCCACUUCUAACCGUGGUGCUAUUUGAAGGUAAUUCUUUGCGGGUUAACGCUGCCGAUGCUCUACAUCUUCAUUACUGUAACCGAAUCAGUCGCAAUUAUUCAAGCCGCAGAUUGAGGAGUCACAGCUAUGAAAGGCCUAAAUAUUUCUUCGCCUUAAGAGUCCAGUUCGCUGCCCACGGCCUAUCAAAAACCUUCGCAAACUCCAUGUGUUCUUUCUCAGAUUGAGUUCUCGUUUUAGUUACUGCCAGGGAUUUUCGCACUGGUUGUGGCUUCUCUAGUCCCUCUCCCUCCUUUUCUUCUUCCUUUCUUAUGUCCUCUUUCUCCUUAGUUUUAGACAUCGUCGUUGAUUUCACUGAUUUCGAGCUGAAAAAAACUUGGAUUGUAUCGGCAUCCCGCCACAGAGAACAAAUUUGUUCCUUUUGAUUCUUCACACAUGAUACUCUGAGCUACUCCAUCUCUUUAGAAUUUCCGAUAGGACAUAGUAUCACCAGUUUGUCAGGAUUGUUGAUGUUACAACACUUCAGCGCUGCAAGAGCCUGUCAAUUGUUUACUCUGGAAGUGCGCACUUUCAACAUGGUUUAUCAUCGUGCAUGACGUACAGUAAAUUUUAGCAUCAAAGCUAUCGCCCAAUUAUUAGCAAACCACAAGAAGAAAAAAAAUCGUUCAGAUUUGUAAAAUUUUGCAAAUCUUAAGCAAUACGCAAGCGAAUUGCAGAAUUUGACAAUAUCCCAAGGCAACUCAAAUUCGAUUUAAAUCUUCACCAUAAUCUGGACAACAAGAAACCAGCCAUCCAAAAGAGACAGCUACGUUUACUACAAA